rnacentral:rRNA from 1 species
AUUGAACGCUGGCGGCAGGCCUAACACAUGCAAGUCGAGCGGGGUUUUCGGACCUAGCGGCGGACGGGUGAGUAAUGCGUAGGAAGCUGCCCGAUAGAGGGGGAUACCAGUUAGAAACGACUGUUAAUACCGCAUAAUGUCUACGGACCAAAGUGUGGGACCUUCGGGCCACAUGCUAUCGGAUGCGCCUACGUGGGAUUAGCUAGUUGGUGAGGUAAUGGCUCACCAAGGCGACGAUCUCUAGCGGGUUUGAGAAGAUGAUCAGCCACACUGGAACUGAGACACGGUCCAGACUCCUACGGGAGGCAGCGGUGGGGAAUAUUGGACAAUGGGCGCAAGCCUGAUCCAGCCAUGCCGCGUGUGUGAAGAAGGCCUUCGGGUUGUAAAGCACUUUCAGCGAGGAGGAAGGGUGGUGUGUUAAUAGCACAUCAUUUUGACGUUACUCGCAGAAGAAGCACCGGCUAACUCUGUGCCAGCCGCCGCAGUAA